CUGACGCUCGCGGUGGCCUCGGUCGCCGUCUCCUCGGGCGCCGCGCCGCCGCCGCCGGGCUCCCAGAUGCUGGGGCCGCCGCCGCCGCCGCCGCCAUUUUGUGGGGAAGACUCGGGCUGCGGAAGGGCCCGCUUCAUCUCCUCGUCGCCGCCGCCGCCACUUUCGCAGCUCGAGGUCGUCGGCGGAGUGGCUUCCGUCUCCGCAGCAGUCGCCAUCGCGCCGGCCCAGGAAGCUUCUGCCAACAAGGCGUCACACCAGCCAAACGGGACUCAAGCAGCGGGUGGGGAAUGACCCACCCUGUGGAACAGCUGCGAACAAAAGCCUGUAAAGGAGAUAAGAGAACGAGCUGCAGCACCGGAGCCUGAACGCCUCCGGCAAAGCCUCACUCGACUUCAGCCCCGUGCCAAUCCCUCUGGAUCGUGCAUCUUUACAGUUGAUUACUUCCACCAGCCCCCCACUCUUUUAUCUUUUUAAAAAAUAUUAUUUUUUUAAGAGAGAGAGGGAGAGAGAAACAUCAAUAAUGACAGAAUUUUCGAUCGGCUGUCUCCUGCACGCCCCUCACUGGGGAUGGAGCCUGCAACCCCGGCAUGUGCCCCACCCAGCAAUGGAACCCUGACCUCCUGGUUCAUGGGUCAGUGCUCCACGACUGGGCCACACCAGCCGGGCCCCACUCUUUUAUCUUAAGGAGUUAGAAGCGGUUGUACGCCUCCCGCAAGCAGCCAAUACCUGCGAUCCUUUGGUAUGACGUCAGCCUAGUGUUUACAGGAUUUUGUUCUGGUGAGCCUGCUGGCUGCUGACUUAAAUGUUUUUCCUUUGGUGUCUUUAGUUUCCUAGGGUGAGUGUAUACUGAAGAAAAAUAUAUUCAUUUGUAGCCACAUUAAAAAAUAUACAGCGCCC